AGGUGGCAGAGCCUGGUCAAAUGCGCAGGACUGAGGCUCCUGUGACUUUAGUGUCUGCGGGGGUUCAAAUCCCAUAUGGGGGCUA
rnacentral:tRNA from 1 species